UUGCAAAAAAGAACAAUUUAAUAAUAAAGACAUUAGAGUUAAAUAUUUAGCAGAAGAUGUUUUAUUGAUAAUAUAGUUAUUAAAGGGGGAGUAUUACAGUACACACUCUUCAACUGAUCAACUCAUAUGUAACGACAACAUACUUAAGCACCACACUGGAAUUAUCAUAAACCAAGCCAAAUUAAGGCAUGCACACUCAUUUAUCUGGAUCAAGAAAACAAUUAAAACAAACUUAAUUUAUGGCAUAAGCCAUGCACACACUAUGGGAUACUUAAUUAGCAAGGAGGUAAGCCUCAACGGCCUUGAAUAUGAGCCCUGCCUUCUCGGUGGCAUCCUUAAUGUUCUCUUCUGGGAUCACGGCGUCGCCUAUGGUGUUGUAAAUGGUGGUGUUCUUAACAAUGGACCCUCCAUCCGGAGUAGGCACAAUAGUGAAAUGAUUAACGAUGGAUUCGAUUAUGUCCAACAGGAUAUCGCCUCCGAUGAUGGAGUAAGUGUAGGUCAACGCGUCCUUGUCAAUUGCAUCUAUCCGUUGCUUCAUGGUGUUGAAUUGGCUGGCUGUAGAAUCAGAUUUACAUUCAAUAUAUAUAAAUAAACAUUCGGUUAAUUAAUUGGAACAGUACUCGAUCAAUAUUACAUACAUAUAUAAUAUUUCAUUAAUUAACACCAAUUUAUAUAUAAGUGAGUACGUACGUACUGAUAUAUUCACAGUUAACAUCCAUUAUUAUUAUUGUUUCAAUUCAGACGGUCUUCUCGAUCUUCCAUUUUAAAUAGAAUAGUACUGGUCUUUUCAUCUUCUUGAUCAGUAGAAUGCAUAUAUG
rnacentral:lncRNA from 1 species